AUGGACCCUGAGUCCGAGGUCACGUUCGAGUUCGUGCCGGUGAUCCGGCAGUACAGGAGCGGCCGCGUCGAGCGCCUGCUCCCCGUGGACCACGUCCCUCCCUCCGUCGACGCCGCCACGGGAGUCGCCUCCAGGGACGUCGUCGUCAACCCGGCCACCGGCACGUGGGCCCGCCUCUACCUCCCCGCCCCGGCGUCCCCCGUCGGCGACGAGAGCGGCAGGCUCCCCAUCAUGGUGUACCUCCACGGCGGCGGUCUCGUCGCCGGCUCGGCGGCGGACGCGCCCGAGCACGCGUUCCUCAACCGCCUGUGCGCCCGCGCGCGCGUCCUGGGCGUGUCCGUCGAGUACCGCCUCGCGCCGGAGCACCCCGUCCCGGCCUGCUACGACGACGCGUGGGCCGCGCUCCGGUGGGCCGCCGAGGGCGCCGACCCGUGGCUCCGGGACCGCGGCGACCGCGGCCGGAUGUUCGUGGUCGGGUACAGCGCCGGCGGCAACGUCGCCCACAACGUGGCGCUCCGCGCCGGCUCGGAGGCCGACGCGCUCCCCCGCGGCGCCCGGGUCAGGGGCCUCGGGCUCCUGCACCCGUACUUCCUCUCGGCCGAGAAGGCGGACGGCGAGCACUCGUGGCUGAGGGGCAAGCUGGAGGAGCUGUGGCCGUUCGCGUGCGGCGGGCGCACCGCCGGGCUGGACGACCCGCGGGUCAACCCGGUGGCCGACGGGGCGCCGAGCCUGCGGCGGCUCGGCUGCGACCGCGUCCUCGUCUGCCUCGCCGACGACGAGCUGCGGCUCCGAGGCAAGGCGUACCACGACGGGCUGCUGGGGAGCGGGUGGGCGGAGGGCGACGCCGAGCUGCUCGACUCCGUCGGCGAGGACCACCAGUUCUUCCUCCGGGAGCCCCCGACCGCGACGGCGCUGCUUCUCAUGGACCGGCUGGCCGCGCUCCUCGGCGCCGGCGAGAACCAGCAGUAG
rnacentral:rRNA from 1 species